rnacentral:rRNA from 1 species
AGACAGCAGCCGCCACGGUAAUACGAAGGGUGCAAGCGUUAAUCGGAAUUACUGGGCGUAAAGCGUGCGUAGGCGGUUUGUUAAGUCUGCUGUGAAAUCCCCGGGCUCAACCUGGGAAUGGCAGUGGACACUGGCAAGCUAGAGUGUGUCAGAGGAUGGUAGAAUUCCAGGUGUAGCGGUGAAAUGCGUAGAGAUCGGGAGGAACAUCAGUGGCGAAGGCAGCCAUCUGGGACAACACUGACGCUGAGGUACGAAAGCGUGGGGAGCAAACAGGAUUAGAUACCCGUGUAGUCCCUGUCUCUUAUAC